rnacentral:rRNA from 1 species
GACGAACGCUGGCGGCGUGCUUAACACAUGCAAGUCGAACGAAGUGGCGAACGGGUGAGUAAUGCUUGGGAAUCUGGCUUAUGGAGGGGGAUAACGACGGGAAACUGUCGCUAAUACCGCGUACCAUAGGAUGAGCCCAAGUGGGAUUAGGUAGUUGGUGGGGUAAUGGCCUACCAAGCCGACGAUCUCUAGCUGGUCUGAGAGGAUGACCAGCCACACCGGGACUGAGACACGGCCCGGACUCCUACGGGAGGCAGCAGUGGGGAAUCUUCCGCAAUGGACGAAAGUCUGACGGAGCAACGCCGCGUGAGUGAUGACGGCCUUCGGGUUGUAAAGCUCUGUUAAUCGGGACGCGGUACCGGAAUAGAAAGCCACGGCUAACUACGUGCCAGCCGCCGCGGUAAUUC